UACGUAGGGUGCGAGCGUUAAUCGGAAUUACUGGGCGUAAAGCGUGCGCAGGCGGUUCGUUGUGUCGGCGGUGAAAGCCCCGGGCUUAACCUGGGAAUGGCCGUUGAAACUGGCGAACUGGAGUGUGGCAGAGGAGGUGGAAUUCCGCGUGUAGCAGUGAAAUGCGUAGAGAUGCGGAGGAACACCGAUGGCGAAGGCAGCCCCCUGGGCUAACACUGACGCUCAGGCACGAAAGCGUGGGGAGCAAACGAG
rnacentral:rRNA from 1 species